GACAGAGGAUGCAAGCGUUAUCCGGAAUGAUUGGGCGUAAAGCGUCUGUAGGUGGCUUUUCAAGUCCGCCGUCAAAUCCCAGGGCUCAACCCUGGACAGGCGGUGGAAACUACCAAGCUGGAGUACGGUAGGGGCAGAGGGAAUUUCCGGUGGAGCGGUGAAAUGCAUUGAGAUCGGAAAGAACACCUGUGGCGAAGGCGGCUCUCUGGGACGGUACUGACGCUGAGACGCGAAAGCGUGGGGGAGCAAACAGG
rnacentral:rRNA from 1 species